rnacentral:lncRNA from 1 species
UAUUUUUUAGCUGUUGGGGUCCUACCAUUGACAGCUACAACCUACAACUGUCAGCAUACCUUGCAGCCAUUUUAAGGAAAUGAUAGCCAAAUCAUUGCGUUUGAUUUUUUGAUCAUUUGUCCUUCAACUGCACUAUUUGUUUUUUCCUUUUUUUUUCCUUAAAUUUUAGACCACGAUGUUACCACCAAUGUUUUAAAAACCGGACCGGACCGGCCGGUCCAACCGGUUCGACCGUCGACCGGUCAUAAUUCCGGUCCGAUCUACUUAUUAAACCGUUUAAGAUUUAAACCGGCCACGAACCGCCAAAACCGGCGGUCGGACCGGUGACUCGAUCGAACCGGACGGUUCUAAUCGAACCGAACGGUUCAAUUUGAACCCCCAUUUUUAAGGCUCCCUUGCAUAAAAAAGUCUUGGCAAAUGCCCAUUCUGGGCCUUGUCUCAUCAUGACAAAGCCCAAACCCCACUCAACCCUAUUGUGGGCUUAGUCUUGAGCCCACCCAAUGAGGGAAUGCAUUGGCCUUCAAUGUGGAUAGAAUUUAUAGGCACCCUUGGCUUCCUCAUUUCUCUUUGUUUCCGAUGUGGGAUUCCUAACCAACCAAAUGAAUGAAAAAAAUAAUAACAAGUCCCCCACAGGAGGAAUUGAACCUUGGACCCCAGAUUCGGAAGGCAUGCAAGGCACCACUCGGCUACAC